rnacentral:lncRNA from 1 species
CUAUAGUUCAGUUAGUAGAACAUGGUCCUCUGUAGUUCAGUUAGUAGAAUAUGGCUCCAGGUCCUCUGUAGUUCAGUUAGUAGAGCAUGGCUGCAGGUCCUCUGUAGUUCAGUUAGUAGAACAUGGCUCCAGGUCCUCUGUAGUUCAGUUAGUAGAGCAUGGUCCUCUGUAGUUCAGUUAUAGAGCAUGGCUCCAGGUCCUCUGUAGUUCAGUCAGUAGAACAUGGCUCCAGGCCCUCUGUAGUUCAGUUAGUAGAGCAUGGCUCCAGGUCCUUUGUAGUUCAGUUAGUAGAACAUGGCUCCAGGUCCUCUGUAGUUCAGUUAGUAGAGCAUGGCUCCAGAUCCUCUGUAGUUCAGUUAGUAGAGCAUGACUCCAGGUCCUCUGUAGUUCAGUUAGUAGAGCAUGGCUCCAGGUCCUCUGUAGUUCAGUUAGUAGAGCAUGGCUCAAGGUCCUCUGUAGUUCAGUUAGUAGAGCAUGGUCCUCUGUAGUUCAGUUAGUAGAACAUGGCUCCAGGUCCUCUGUAUUUCAGUUAGUAGAGCAUGGCUCCAGGUCCUCUGUAGUUCAGUCAGUAGAACAUGGCUCCAGGUCCUCUGUAGUUCAGUUAGUAGAGCAUGGUCCUCUGUAGUUCAGUUAGUAGAGCAUGGCUCCAGGUCCUCUGUAGCUCAGUUGGUAGAGCAUGACUGUGCUUUGGAUAAAAUUGUCUGGCAUAUAGUAUGUGUUACUCUGGUUCCCAUCACCAGGGGGCAGUGUGAGUUUUGGUUCCCAUCAAAAUCAAAUAAUCACAUUUUAUUGGUCACAUACACAUGGAUAGCAGAUGUUAAUGCGUGUGUAGCGAAAUGCUUGUGCAUCUAGUUCUGACAGUGCAGUAAUAUCUAACAAGUAAUCUAACAAAUUCACAACUAACUACCUAAUACACACACAAAUGUAAAGCGAUGGAAUAAGAAUUUGUACAUAUAAAUAUAUGGAUGAGCGAUGGCCAUGCAGCAUAGGCAAGAUGCAGUAGAUGGUAUAGAGUACAAUAUAUACAUAUAAGAUGAGUGAUGUAAGAUAUGUAAAAAUUAAAGUGGCAUUAUUUAAAGUGACUAGUGAUACCUUUAUUAAAUCCAUUUAUUAAAGUGACCAGUGAUUUGGGUCUGUAUGUUUGCAGCAGCCUCUCUAUGUUAGUGAUGGCUGUUUAACAGUCUGAUGGCCUUGAGAUAGAAGCUGUUUUUCAGUCUCUCUGUACCAGCUUUGAUGCACCUGUACUGACCUCGCCAUCUGGAUGGUAGCGGUGUGAACAGGCAGUGGCUCAGGUGGUUGUUGUCCUUUUUGGCCUUUCUGUGACAUCGGGUGCUGUAGGUGUCCUGGAGGGCAGGUAGUUUGCCCCUGAUGAUGCGUUGUGCAGACCGGUUGAUGGCGGUGCAGUUGCCUAUCACCUUACCAGGUGAUACAGCUCGACAGGAUGCUCUUAAUUGUGCAUCUGUAAAAGUUUGUGAGGGUUUUAGGUGACAAGCCAAAUUUCUUCAGCCUCCUGAGGUUGAAGUGGCGCUGUUGCGCCUUCUUCACUACACUGUAUAUGUGGGUGGACCAUUUCAGUUUGUCCGUGAUGUGUAUGCCGAGGAACUUGAAGCUUUCCGCCUUCUCCACUGCGGUCCCAUUGAUGUGGAUAGGGGGCUGCUCCCUCUGCUGUUUCCUGAAGUCAACAAUAAUCUCCUUUGUUUUGUUGACGUUGAGUGAGAGGUUAUUUUCCUGACACAACACUCCGAGGGCCCUCACCUCCUCCCUGUAGGCCAUCUCGUCGUUGUUGGUAAUCAAGCCCACUACUGUUGUGUCAUCUGCAAACUUGAUGAUUGAGUUGGAGGCGUUUAUGGCCACACAGUCUUGGGUGGACAGGGAGUACAGGAGAGGGCUGAGCACGAACCCUUGUGGGGCCACAG